rnacentral:lncRNA from 1 species
CAAGAAAAUCCGAGUUGGGAUUUUAGCUGGUUGGUAGGGGAAUCAGGCUGAAGCAGAAACCCGGUGGUAUCCUGGUCCGGCCAUAUCUGCUAGACAGUAGACACCAUACGCAUACGGCUGCGGAAUCAUUUUUCUAAUCCCCAUGUGGGGGAUUACAAGUGUUAGGUGCCCAUCAAUGACCCUGAUGCCGACGCCGCUAGUCUCUCUCUCUCUCUCCCACUCUCGUGCAUGCACACACGCAGCUGAAGCUGAACAACACCCCCCAUAAACGGCAUGAUGAUUAGGGUGGCCCCGGCCUGUCAUUGUCUCCGGCACUAGCAGUCGCCGCUGCUGCCGCUGGCACGUCCUGUAGUAGUCCACCGUGCGUGGAAGAGACGGGAUGAUGCCGCUGCAGGGGCCGAACGAAAUGCCUCCUCAGAAGGGCAAGCAAAACGCGGCGGCGUGUCUGAAGCGUCAAGAUGACAGUGAAACCCCAUGCUCGAUGCCUCGAUCGGUCGGUCGGUCGGUCGGUAAACGGAGUGAUCUGCAGAAAUCUCGAGAGACAUUUCAUUUGAGGUGAUAAUGAUGCCAGCCAUCGAGUGUUAUGACAAUAUCAAAGCAAUAAUGCCGAACAAAUAAAGGUGGAAGUAAUUGUUAGAAAUCUUCAGAAGAAAGUUAGCUAGCUCUUGCCUCUUCUGAUCUGAUCAGACAUGGAAUGCGCCAAGCCUGCUGCGCUACGAGACACAUUCCUGGAGGCACCAAGGGAAGGUUAGCUAGUGCUCGGAGAAUGUUGCCUCGAC